rnacentral:rRNA from 1 species
AGGAGAGUUUGAUCCUGGCUCAGAUUGAACGCUGGCGGCAGGCUUAACACAUGCAAGUCGUACGGUAACAGAGGGAAGCUUGCUUCUCUGCUGACGAGUGGCGGACGGGUGAGUAAUGUCUGGGAAGCUGCCUGCUUGAGGGGGAUAGCGGAGCGAAAGUUCCGAUAAUACCGCGUAAGCCCGAGAGGGGAAAGUGCGGGACCGCAAGGCCGCACGCGAGCAGAUGCGCCCAGAUGGGAUUAGGCAGUUGGGGAGGUAACGGCUCACCAAACCGAUGAUCUCUAGCUGGUUUGAGAGGACAAUCAGCCACAUUGGAAUUGAGAAACGGACCAAACUCCUACGGGAGGCAGCAGUGGGGAAUAUUGCACAAUGGGGGAAACCCUGAUGCAGCCAUGCCGCGUGUGUGAAGAAGGCCUUCGGGUUGUAAAGCACUUUUGCAUUCGAGGAAGACAGCGCGUAAAUAAACGCGUUAUUUGACGUUAGAGUGUGAAUAAGCACCGGCAAACUCCGUGCCAGCAGCCGCGGUAAUACGGAGGGUGCGAGCGUUAAUCGGAAUGACUGGGCGUAAAGGGCACGCAGGUGGCGAGAUAAGUUGGAUGUGAAAUUCCCGUGCUUAACAUGGGGACUGCAUCCAAAACUGUUGAACUGGAGUACUGUAGAGGGAGGUAGAAUUCCACGUGUAGCGGUGAAAUGCGUAGAGAUGUGGAAGAAUACCAGAGGCGAAGGCGGCCUCCUGGACAGAUACUGACACUGAGGUGCGAAAGCGUGGGUAGUAAACAGGAUUAGAUACCCUGGUAGUCCCCU